rnacentral:tRNA from 5 species
GCGCCCGUAGCUCAACGGAUAGAGCGAUGGACUUCGAAUCCACAGGUUGGAGGUUCGAUUCCUCUCGGGCGUACCA